rnacentral:lncRNA from 1 species
GGGAACCCCCCCCCCAAAAAAAAAAAAUCUGGAGGGGGUCCCCAAAACCUGGAAUCUGCCCCCAAAAUGGGGGGGGCAGACCCCAGAUUUUGGAGUGGGGGGGGUGGGGGGGGCUAAAAGCUGUGGAAAUGCCCCCAAAAGGAAUAAACUUUGCAAAUAUGAACACCGACCGGAAGUGGAGCUGAAAUCUCGGGAUCUCACCCCAAAAUUUCAUGGGAUGACCCCCCCCCCCCAAAAAAAAAAAACCUCACGAAACGACCCCAAAAAGCCCCAGAAUGACCCCAAAAAAAGCACAGAGUGACCCCAGCAUUUCAGGGGAUGACCCCCACGUUUUGCAUUCGAACCAAAAACCCCAUGAAAGGACCCCAAAAACCUCCGUGACCCCAAAAUCCCAAUGAAUGACCCCAAAAUCCCAACAAACGGCCCCAAAAUCCCAAUGAACAGCCCCAAAAUCACAACGAACAGCCCCAAAAUCCCAUCAAACCCAAAAUCCCAAUGAACAGCCCCAAAAUCCCAACGAACGGCCCCAAAAUCCCAACAAUCGACCCCAAAAUCCCGUCAAACCCAAAAUCCCAAUGAACGGCCCCAAAAUCCCAACGAACACCCCCCAAAUCCCAACGAUCGAUCCCCAAACCUCAACAAAUGGCCCCAAAACAUCAACCACCCCAUAAACCUCAAGAAACGAGCCCAGAACUCCAAUGAUUGACCCUAAAACCCCAAUGGCUGAGCCCAAAUGCCCACCAGGGGACCCCAAAACCUCGACAAAUGGCCCUAAAAUCCUGACUGACCCCAAAACCCCAACAAUUGACCCCAAAACCCCAAGGAAUGGCCCCCAAAUCCCAAGGACUGACCCCAAAACCUCAAAAAAGGGCCCCAAAAAUCUCAACAGUAGACCCCACAAUCCAAGGAUUGACCCCAAAACCCCAAAGAUUGACCCCAAAAUCCCAACAACAGAACCCAGAGCCCCCACAAACGACCCCAAAAUCCCAAGGAUUGACCCCAAAACCUCCACAAAUGGCCCCAAAAAUCUCAGCAAAAUGCCCCAAAACCUCAUUGAUCGACCCCAAAACUUCAACAAACGGCCCCAAAACCCCAAGGAUUGACCCCAAAAUCCCAACAAUAGAACCCAAAGACCCCACAAACGACCCCAAAAUCCCAAGGAUUGACCCCAAAACCUCCACAAAUGGCCCCAAAAUCCCAAGGAUUGACCCCAAAACCCCCACAAAUGGCCCCAAAAAUCUCCACAAAAUGCCCCAAAAUCCCAAGGAUUGGCCCCGAAACCCCAAGGAUUGGCCCCAAAACCCCAAUGUCCACCCCACACGGCAGCGAUGGGCCCCGCACUGUGAGAGAGAGCAGCCCCAAAAUCGCCAUUUCUUGCCCCAAAAUGCAGGCCCCCAAAAUCGCCGUUUCUUGCCCCAAAAUCACCAUUUCUUGCCCCCAAAUCACUAUUUCUUGCCCCAAAACACAGGCUCCCAAAAUCACCAUUUCUUGCCCCAAAACACAGGCCCCCAAAAUCACCAUUUCUUGCCCCCAAAAUGCGGGCUCCCAAAAUCGCCAUUUCUUGUCCCAAAACUGCCAUUUCUUGCCCCAAAACACGGGCUCCCAAAGUGGCCGUUUCUUGCCCCAAAACGCAGGCUCCCAAAAUCGCCAUUUAUUGCCCCAAAACACAGGCCCCCAAAAUCGCCGUUUCUUGCCCCCAAAUCACCAUUUAUUGCCCCCAAAACGCGGGCUCCCAAAAUCGCCGUUUCUUGUCCCAAAACGGCCAUUUCUUGCCCCAAAACGCGGGCUCCCAAAAUGGCCAUUUCUUACCCCAAAACGCAGGCCCCGUUUCCCGGCUGGCGCCGCCCGCGGGGGCUCCUCGGCCCCCCCCCACUCCUCGGGGGGUUUCGGGGGGGGGCACCUUGAUGAGCCAUGGUUUCUUGAUGACCUGGGGGGGAGCUAAUGAGAGCCUGCUAAUUAAUAAACUAAUUGGGGUGCUCCGGGGGGGGGGCA